GCAGAUGCUUAAAAGUUUAAGUCAGGUAUGUGAUGCUAACAGAUUCACAACAGACCUAUGCAUUUCGACACAAUCAAUUUCACCGGAAAAAGAGAAGAACUCCCUUAUGUUCAGCUCAGAUGCUGUCAAUGAAAGAUUGUUGACUUUCAC